rnacentral:lncRNA from 1 species
UAACCCCUUAUCCCCCCUUUAUACCUAAACGCAAAUUUUUUACCCGAGGAUAGUAGUUCUCGGGUAUCUAAAAUAAUCUGGUAUAACUAUUUCCAUCAACACCUUCAUUUUCUGUAUAUAACUACUCACUAUUUUUUUUAUUCCAUAUUAUCUAUCCAAAUGUUAUUUUUCUUAUCCCCGGAAAUAAUCUAAUUUUUAUCCAAACGCUAUUUUUAUUAUCCCCAUAUUUGUACGUAUUUCUGUAAUAGCUAGUUUUUGUUUAUACCCGAGCCAAAUCGCUACCCAUACGUCAU